UACAGAGGGUGCGAGCGUUAAUCGGAAUUACUGGGCGUAAAGGGCUCGUAGGCGGCCAACUAAGUCAGACGUGAAAUCCCUCGGCUUAACCGGGGAACUGCAUCUGAUACUGGAUGGCUUGAGUUCGGGAGAGGGAGUGCGGAAUUCCAGGUGUAGCGGUGAAAUGCGUAGAUAUCUGGAGGAACACCGGUGGCGAAGGCGGCAUCCUGGACCGACACUGACGCUGAGGAGCGAAAGCCAGGGGAGCAAACGGG
rnacentral:rRNA from 1 species